GACAUGCUGGAUGGCAGCGGCCGAAGGGCUUGUGACACCGAUCCUUGUGGCUCACCGCUUCGUUUUUGGGAUCCAACUCAUUCCAGUUCGACCGAACUGUCAACAGCAAAAUAAGGGCUUGUGACGCUGAUUCUUGUAGCCCAACCGGUUUUGGUGACUCCAUGAGCUUGACCAUGUCCGAAUCGAUCUUCCCUUCUUGAUAUCUUCAAUCUCCGAAUUGAUCGGUUGGCAGAUUCUUUGUGGAAGAGGUCUGGGUGGCAGCUUCUUUUUCAGGCCUCUUCUUCAAAUCCGAUGGCACCGCCGAUGGUUCUCCUUGGUAACAGGCAGUCCGACGUCUGAGGUCCGAGCUGCAGUUCGUUCUGGGUCAAAGGAGGAUCCGAGCGGCGGAGGGGGUCGAAGUUGCAGGUCGGGUCGCCGGAAUCGGAAGGUCCAUCUCGACAAUGAUUUUUCUUCUAUUUUCUUUGCGAUGCUUUGAGGGAGAAAUUAACAGCUUGGAUUCAAGAUUUUGGGCCUUUAAUUAGAACUUGAUAUAUACAGGACAUUUAGAUGGUAAUACUUGAUGUGAAGAAUGGGUACUAUAUUUGGUGAUUGAUUGGAUAUGUAGAUGCUUGACGUUAAAGUAUGGCUGUAGAUGCUUGUGUAGAGUAAUGAAGGGUUAGAGUAUGACUUUGGUUGCUGAAUUUUGUAUAUAUGGGUAGCAAUAUUUGGAUCUUUAUAUGUAGUGUGUUGGUGUUGGAGCAAAAAUCUAUGACAGGUUGGAAUUUGAAUUAAGAGUAGGUAUAUGCCUGAUGUUGAAAUCAUAGCAUGUGAAAGCUUGUAUAAUGCUUGCUGGAUCGUAAAUGCUAGCGCU